rnacentral:lncRNA from 1 species
CCUCUACCCUGCUGCCCAGGGAGGGCUCAUCAGGUUCCUCCAAAUGGCAGGACCCUCCACUGAGCCCAGAAGUGUUGCUGAGCCUGUGUGGAGUUCCCAGAUGGGGUAGCCAAGCAGACGCCUCAGAAGAUUACACAGACCCGGGCCUUCGCCGCACCCAUGAUCUCUAUUUAAGGAGAAUGUCUCGUGGAUUUCCAGUGUAAGUUCCCCAGUCAGCCUGGUGGCAAGAACCCACCCCUCCUGUACUGCCCAGGAGCCCUACAGCCUCAUGAGCCCUAGAGCCUCACUAUUCCUCAUCCCGUGUCCUCCUCUUCAGUGCUGGGAUGAUGAUGACGGCAUGCACCUCACAGAGCCGACUUGAGAACAGAAUGGGUGAGUGUGUGCCAACACGGUAACCCAGCACCUGGCAGGGGUGACUCCUCCACCCCU